rnacentral:misc_RNA from 1 species
GGUGGUUGGGUGGAGGC